rnacentral:rRNA from 1 species
AUUGAACGCUGGCGGCAGGCCUAACACAUGCAAGUCGAGCGAGCGGCGGACGGGUGAGUAAUGUCUGGGAAACUGCCUGAUGGAGGGGGAUAACUACUGGAAACGGUAGCUAAUAACGCAUACCAUCAGAUGUGCCCAGAUGGGAUUAGCUAGUAGGUGGGGUAACGGCCCACCUCCGCGACGAUCCCUAGCUGGUCUGAGCGGAGGACCAGCCACCCUGGACCUGAUACACGGUCCAGACUCCUACGGGAGGCAUCUAUGGGUAAUAUUGCGCUAUGGGCGAUAUCCUGAUGCAGCCAUGCCGCGUUUGUGAAGAAGGCCUUCGGGUUGUAAAGCACUUUCAGCGGGGGGACGUUGCCCGCAGAAGAUGCACCGGCUAACUCCGUGCCAGCGGCCGCGGUAAUA